rnacentral:lncRNA from 1 species
CGGCAACCGGAAGGUCUACCCAUCUUCAACCUAGAGAUUGUCCUACCACUGCGUUCACCACCUCACUUUUCACCUUUAGUAUCUUCCUCAAGUUCUUCCUCAAGCUCCUCAGGUGGAGAGGAAGCUCUAGAGGAUACUUGGGGACUAUGCUAAACCCACACUUGCAGGCACUGGCUCAAUCAUAGUCCCUCUGACAGUCGAUAACCGAAAUUUUGAGGUGAAGAACCC